rnacentral:tRNA from 1 species
GGGAAUGUGGUUCAGUGGUAGAACACUUGCCUAGCAUUCAUGAAGCUCUGGCUUUAAUCCCUAGCAUUCCAC